GAUCAUGGCUCAGGAUGAACGCUGGCGGCGUGCUUAACACAUGCAAGUCGAACGAAGCACUUUAACCUGAUUCUUCGGAUGAAGGUUUUGUGACUGAGUGGCGGACGGGUGAGUAACGCGUGGGUAACCUGCCUCAUACAGGGGGAUAACAGUUAGAAAUGACUGCUAAUACCGCAUAAGACCACGGAGUCGCAUGGCUCAGUGGGAAAAACUCCGGUGGUAUGAGAUGGACCGCGU
rnacentral:rRNA from 1 species